rnacentral:rRNA from 1 species
GGUUAAUAUUCCUGUACUUGGUGUUACUGCGAAGGGGGGACGGAGAAGGCUAUGUUGGCCGGGCGACGGUUGUCCCGGUUUAAGCGUGUAGGCUGGUUUUCCAGGCAAAUCCGGAAAACCAAGGCUGAGGCGUGAUGACGAGGCACUACGGUGCUGAAGCGACAAAUGCCCUGCUUCCAGGAAAAGCCUCUAAGCAUCAGGUAACAUCAAAUCGUACCCCAAACCGACACAGGUGGUCAGGUAGAGAAUACCAAGGCGCUUGAGAGAACUCGGGUGAAGGAACUAGGCAAAAUGGUGCCGUAACUUCGGGAGAAGGCACGCUGAUAUGUAGGUGAAGCGACUUGCUCGUGGAGCUGAAAUCAGUCGAAGAUACCAGCUGGCUGCAACUGUUUAUUAAAAACACAGCACUGUGCAAACACGAAAGUGGACGUAUACGGUGUGACGCCUGCCCGGUGCCGGAAGGUUAAUUGAUGGGGUUAGCGGUAACGCGAAGCUCUUGAUCGAAGCCCCGGUAAACGGCGGCCGUAACUAUAACGGUCCUAAGGUAGCGAAAUUCCUUGUCGGGUAAGUUCCGACCUGCACGAAUGGCGUAAUGAUGGCCAGGCUGUCUCCACCCGAGACUCAGUGAAAUUGAACUCGCUGUGAAGAUGCAGUGUACCCGCGGCAAGACGGAAAGACCCCGUGAACCUUUACUAUAGCUUGACACUGAACAUUGAGCCUUGAUGUGUAGGAUAGGUGGGAGGCUUUGAAGUGUGGACGCCAGUCUGCAUGGAGCCGACCUUGAAAUACCACCCUUUAAUGUUUGAUGUUCUAACGUUGGCCCCUAAUCGGGGUUGCGGACAGUGUCUGGUGGGUAGUUUGACUGGGGCGGUCUCCUCCUAAAGAGUAACGGAGGAGCACGAAGGUUGGCUAAUCCUGGUCGGACAUCAGGAGGUUAGUGCAAUGGCAUAAGCCAGCUUGACUGCGAGCGUGACGGCGCGAGCAGGUGCGAAAGCAGGUCAUAGUGAUCCGGUGGUUCUGAAUGGAAGGGCCAUCGCUCAACGGAUAAAAGGUACUCCGGGGAUAACAGGCUGAUACCGCCCAAGAGUUCAUAUCGACGGCGGUGUUUGGCACCUCGAUGUCGGCUCAUCACAUCCUGGGGCUGAAGUAGGUCCCAAGGGUAUGGCUGUUCGCCAUUUAAAGUGGUACGCGAGCUGGGUUUAGAACGUCGUGAGACAGUUCGGUCCCUAUCUGCCGUGGGCGCUGGAGAACUGAGGGGGGCUGCUCCUAGUACGAGAGGACCGGAGUGGACGCAUCACUGGUGUUCGGGUUGUCAUGCCAAUGGCACUGCCCGGUAGCUAAAUGCGGAAGAGAUAAGUGCUGAAAGCAUCUAAGCACGAAACUUGCCCCGAGAUGAGUUCUCCCUGAGACUUAGAGUCUCCUGAAGGAACGUUGAAGACGACGACGUUGAUAGGCCGGGUGUGUAAGCGCAGCGAUGCGUUGAGCUAACCGGUACUAAUGAACCGUGAGGCUUAACCUUACAACGCCGAAG